GUCUUUCCCGGAGUUUCACGUGUGCAUCAGAACUAAACACACAAAAAAGAUACAGUAGGUGAUAUGAAGCAGACGCGACUGUGCAAAGACAAAAUCUGUUAAAAUGAAGAGAAAAAACGCAAAAGACAAAAUGUCCUCCUUCAGUAAGAAAAAAUAAAGAUCAUGGUCAGUCAAGACUGGAGAGAGAAGAUGCUCCAGAAUACAGCUUUUAUGAGCACAUGAUAAUGUUAGAGAUGAUCAUAAACACAUUUUCAGAUGACUGCCUAAGUUGAUUUGUGGAUAUGUUUGGUUUGUGUUAUAUACCUACAUGUGUCAUAUAGUUUACAGAUGCAGAAAAGUGCCUAGAUUUGAUUAGAUGCUAAAAAUGUGUUAUCAUUAUUGAUCAUUAUCACACUACAAUACAAAAUUACUUGUCAAAUAAAUGAAACAUUCAUGAAA